UACCGCAACUCGUACUGCCCCUAGUACGAGUUUCAAUACAAGGUCUAUUGCUUGCCUUGGUGGAAAAUCAAAAAAAAUAUUUGAAUUACGUUUUCAGGCAUCGGAAAUCCACCGGGAACUGUGGACAUGAAAGCCUAUCUUCUACAGAGAUUCAGUACCGUAGACAGACAUCAGAUUGAUGCAGCACUGGAUCAAGGGGUUGAAGCUGUAAGUACCCUGGUGCUCAAUGGAUUUGACCAGACCAUCACUGGUUUCAAUUUGAGGCAGAAAUACAAAUACCACAAAGUGUAAUUUGCACAAUUCCUUUUGUGUGUGACACAUUUCUUCCGAAACAGUUAUGUAAUUUGCACAAUAUUAAUGCCAUGGCACCUUAUAUGAAGAGCUAA